GGAAAGCUUGGGGAAAGGCAGGUGUAGCCAGCAUGGACCAAAAGUGGGCAGCAACUUGCUUUGAUUCUUUUAUGCCAAGAACCUCAACUUCUAAUAUGUUUCCCAUUUCAAGCCUAUUCUUGCAAGUUUCUCACUGGGUCUUAAAGCUCCUAGGACUUAAAGCCCAUGGUCUCAGCAGUCCAAUUCCAGCACCUCCUUGUUGGUUGUUCCUAUCCUGUACUCAUAUAGAAAUUUACCAGCAAUUUGCAUUUGUGGUUUCAUUCAUUUAUUAAAUGUCUAUGUUCCAGUUUUUACUUGGAAUGAUGGAGACUUGCAUAUGAAAACAACACAAACUUUGUUCCCCAAAGGUCAAGCAUCUGGUACUAUGAAACAAAAAUACGCAAUAAUGACAAAAUUGAUGACAUAAACUAUCUCAGUGCUCGAAAAAAAACAAAACAUACAAGGGAGUGCAAAUGAGUACAAGAAAAAGUAAAUGAGGUGUCAUUCACUCCUAUGUAGAGAGACAGGCUGGAACAGGUAGGGAGGGAAGAGACUAAGAAGGUCUUAAUUUGAGAACUUAGCAGUGAUUUAUAAAUUCACCAUUUAUUACGGAUUUACACAUUGUUAAACUUUGACUAUUAUACAUGGACCUUGUGAAUUGAUAUAUUAGAAUUGGUCAUCAAAAAAAUUCCAUCAAUUCUAGCCUAUACAUAGAUUUCUCCUCUGAGGGAGCUAUGCAUUUUAUCAGUUCUGAUUUUAGUUGCAUUAAUACUUAGCCAGAAUUUUGGUUCAUGCAAUUCAAAAGUUAAUUGUUGUUUAUAUCCAUCUACUAUGGAAUAAUAACAUUUAAAUCUGAGUUAACCUCCCACUAAUAAUUACAUUCUGAAUUUAGAAAGCCAUUAGGGAUUAGGUCUGCUUAUCCCAUUAAAGUCAAUUAAAAGAAAGAAGGAUUCCUAUUAUUAACUUGUAUUUCUAAAGCAUUUGGAGUUGUAAAAUGCCAUGAAGUUACUUUGUGAACUGGGUUCUCAGCAUUCCUUCAGGGCACAAGGGGCAGGUCCACCACCUCUUUCACAAAGAGAACCGAGUCACACCAAGAGAUGUGGUUGGACAAGGGCCACAGGGCCAGGCAUUGGGAAGGCAAGACAAGAAGUAACAAAAUCUAAGGGUAUUGUUCUUUUUAUUUUCAAUUAGCUACAGAAGACUUAGUGUUAUGCAAAAAUCAA
rnacentral:lncRNA from 1 species